CGAACGGUAACAGGUGUUCGGAUGCCGACGAGUGGCGAACGGGGGAGGACAAAAACCGAACGUGCCCGAACGUGGGGGAGAACGAGACGAAAGGGAGACUAAUACCGCAUCCGAUCAACGGAUGAAAGCGGGGGAUCUUCGGACCUCGGGCGGACGGAGCGGCCGAUGGCAGAUUAGGUAGUUGGUGGGAUAAAGGCUUACCAAGCCGACGAUCUGUAGCUGGUCUGAGAGGAUGAUCAGCAGCACUGGCACUGAGACUCGGACCGGACUCCUACGCUAGGCAGCAGUGGGGAAUUUUGGACAAUGGCCGAAAGCCUGAUCCAGCCAUGCCGCGUGCACGAGGAAGGCCUUCGGGUUGUAUACUGCUUUUGUACGGAACGAAAAGCCUCUUGCUAAUAAGUAAGGGUCCUGACGGUACCGUAAGAAUCAGCACCGGCUAACUACGUGCCACCAGCCGCGGCCAUACGUAGGGUGCAAGCGUUAAUCGGAAUUACUGGGCGUAAAGCGUGCGCACGCGGUUUUGUAAUACAGAGGUGAAAGUCUCGGGCUCGACCUGGGAACUGCCUUUGUGACUGCAAGGCUGACGUGCGGCAGAGGGGGAUGGAGUUCCGCGUGUAGCAGUGAAAUGCGUAGAUAUGCAGAUGAACACCGAUGGCGAAGGCAUCGCCUGGCCUGCACUGACGCUCAUGCUCUAGAGCGUGAGGAGGAGACGGGAUUAGAUACCCUGGUAGUCCUCGUCCUAAACGGAUGUCGACUUGUUGUUGGGGUCUUGACUGACUCAGUAACGAGGCUUAACGCGUGAAGUGGAUCGCCUGGAGAGUACGGCCUCGGGGUCAAACUUAAAGGAUUAACUGUGACCCGUUCAAGCCGUGGAUGAUGUGGUUU
rnacentral:rRNA from 1 species